GGAGGGGUUCCCGAGUGGCCAAAGGGGGCAGACUGUAAAUCUGUUGGCUCAGCCUUCGAUGGUUCGAAUCCAUCUCCCUCCA
rnacentral:tRNA from 1 species